rnacentral:rRNA from 1 species
UACGUAGGGUGCAAGCGUUGUCCGGAGUUAUUGGGCGUAAAGAGCUUGUAGGCGGUUUGUCGCGUCUGCUGUGAAAUUUCGGGGCUCAACCCCGAACUUGCAGUGGGUACGGGCAGACUAGAGUGUGGUAGGGGAGACUGGAAUUCCUGGUGCAGCGGUGAAAUGCGCAGAUAUCAGGAGGAACACCGAUGGCGAAGGCAGGUCUCUGGGCCACUACUGACGCUGAGAAGCGAAAGCAUGGGGAGCGAACAGG